rnacentral:sRNA from 1 species
GUUCAUUUGUAACAAUA